rnacentral:rRNA from 1 species
UUAUCGGAGAGUUUGAUCCUGGCUCAGGACGAACGCUGGCGGCGUGCCUAAUACAUGCAAGUCGAGCUGAUUGAUGGGAGCUUGCUCCCAUCAAUCAGCGGCGGACGGGUGAGUAACACGUGGGUAACCUGCCUGUAAGACUGGGAUAACUCCGGGAAACCGGGGCUAAUACCGGAUAACUCAUUUCCUCGCAUGAGGAAAUGUUGAAAGGUGGCUUUUAGCUAUCACUUACAGAUGGACCCGCGGCGCAUUAGCUAGUUGGUGAGGUAACGGCUCACCAAGGCGACGAUGCGUAGCCGACCUGAGAGGGUGAUCGGCCACACUGGGACUGAGACACGGCCCAGACU